rnacentral:tRNA from 1 species
GGGGUUAUAACAUAAGCAGUGUAUUUGUUUGCAAAACAUAGUGUAUGGGUUCGAGCCCCAUUAAUCCCU